rnacentral:rRNA from 1 species
UUUAUUGAGGAUUUGAUCCUGGUCCAGGAUGAACGCUGGCGGCGUGGAUAAGGCAUGCAAGUCGAACGAGAUUAUUUUCAAAGUUGUUGCGAUUACAUCAAGACAGCCGAGAUUUUAGUCUAGUGGCGAACGAGUUAGUAACACCUUGGUACGUACCCCGAAGUCGGGAAUAACCAGUCGAAAGAUUGGCUAAUACCCGAUAGUCUCGCAAGAGUAAAGAAGCAAUUCGCUUUGGGAGCGGCCUAGGUCCUAUCAGCUAGUUGGCGGGGUAAAAGCCCACCAAGGCAAUGACGGGUAGCCGGUGUGAGAGCAUGACCGGCAACGACGAGACUGAGACACGGCUCGUACACCUACGGGUGGCAGCAGUCGAGAAUAUUCGACAAUGGGCGAAAGCCUGAUCGAGCGACGCCGCGUGCAGGAAGAAGGCCUUCGGGUCGUAAACUGCUUUUCAAGGGGAGGAACGCAAGUGACUGUACCUUUGGAAUAAGGAGCUGCAAACCAUGUGCCAGCAGCCGCGGUAAUACAUGGGCUCCAAGCGUUAUCCGGAUUUAUUGGGCGUAAAGGGUCUCCAGGUGGUUUGGUUAGUCAUGUGUUAAAUGCCGCUGCCUAACGGCGGCGCUGCACGUGAUACGGCCAGACUAGAGGGAUGGAGAGGGAGUAGGAACUCACGGUGUAGGGGUGAAAUCCGUUGAUAUCGUGGGGAACACCAAAGGCGAAGGCAAACUCCUGGCCAUCUCCUGACACUCAUGAGACGAAAGCGUGGGGAUCAAAUAGGAUUAAUCGCUCGCCAAUUAUUUUGUGGUGGUUUUUUUGAUAAUAAUUUUUUUGCGGGUUUUCUCGGCCAUCUUGAUUGUAGACACGACUCGGCUGCUCCUGCGGCAGCCUCGCUAAGAGUCGGACGAAAUUUUUCUUGCUAGGCAAGAAUCCAAGCAAAUUUCGUCCUCCGUUGUCUCCAAUCAAGAUGGCCUCGACCCGCAAGUAAAGUAAAUUUAUUUUAUCUUAAAACAUAAAACAAAAUAAUUGAGCUCGCUUAGAAGAUUUUAGGAAAGAAAAAAUCUAUCUAAGCGAACCCGAGGGUAUCGGGUGAGAUCUAGUCCCUCCGCUAUAAAGCGGAGAUAAAACUUAGCUAUAUGCUGGAAAACCCGCGAAUGUUGGAGUACCGAAAGGUAAAAAUCUCCAACCGGUGCGGGCAACCAGCAGGGAAGUCGUAAUUGACCCCUCAGAGACUAUACGCUAGGCCCACCAAAAUUUUUUGGCAAAGAAAGAAAACUGUGGGAUGAAAUGAAUUAAUUUCAAAGUAAUCCCUAAUUUUUUCAUCAGCCAAAAAACUUAGGCGGGAUGAUAUAGUCCGAACUGUAUAGCGAUAUGCAGAGCUAGCCAGAAAUGCGCUAGCCAAGUAAUAAAAUUAUUACUAGUAACAAAAUUGUAGAUACCCUAGUAGUCCACGCCCUAAACGAUGCAGGCUCGCCGUUCCGAGUAUCGACCCUCGGAGUGGCUAAGCUAACGCGUUAAGCCUGCCGCCUGGGAAGUACGGCCGCAAGGCUAAAACUCAAAGGAAUAGACGGGGAUUCGCACAAGCGGUGGACCAUGUGGUUCAAUUCGACAACAACCGAGGAACCUCACCAGGGCUUGAAAUGCUGCUGACGUUCCGGUGAAAGCUGGAACUUCUCACAAGGACAGUAGCACAGGUGCUGCACGGUCGUCGUCAGUUCGUGAUGUGAAUUGUUCCCUUAAGUGGGGCAACGAACGCAACCCCUGUUGUCUGUUAUAUGUGUCAGGCAAGACUGCCCUCCUCUUUGUUCGUGAGCGAACAAAGAGGGAUAUAUCGAAAUUUCGAUGUGUCGAUAUUUUUCUCUUUGCGCUGGUGCGCAAAGAGGAGGGAGGAAGGAGGGGACGACGUCAGAUCAGCGUGGCCCUUUGAUGCCCUGGGCUACACACGUGGUACAAUGGCGCGUACAAUGGGUCGCGAAGCCGCGAGGCGGAGCUAAUCCCACCAAAGCGCGCCCCAGUUCAGAUUGGAGUCUGCAACUCGACUCCAUGAAGUAGGAAUCGCUAGUAAGCGCAAAUCAGCUACGUUGCGCUGAAUACGUUCUCGAAUCUUGUACUCACCGCCAAUAGUAAAAUGCUCGGCAGCUUAAUUGACUAGUGGGUUAAAAUCCCACCCUC